GUCUGGCUCAGAGAUGGAGUCACCAGGCCAUGGUGUGCGGGCACUCAGUAAAGUGGAGAUACGAUUACUAGAUCAUUAUGAUGCUGGUUUCUUCAUCAAGUGGCGGAAUAACGCAUCAGGGCAGGUGACCCACGUCACCGGGGUGAUGCACUGGUGCUCGCCGGGGCGGGCCCUGUGCCUGCGGGAGCCGCGCGGCCGGCGGGGUGUCGGGGCGCCUUGUGGGGGCCGAGCCGCGCCCGCACGUCCCUCAGAACUCUCAAUGAGUGUCAGAUCAACACAUUCAUCCACCAUAUCCCAUGUGUAUAAGAACAAUCCAUCACUCCUGACCUAAUCCGGCGCAGAACAGAACCUCUGGAAGAGGACCAAAGAAGGGAAAAAGUGGAAGUGUCACAUGCCCAGAGGAAAACAGAUGCUACAGAGAUGAAUAAAACAAAACAAAACAAAACAAAAGGAAGAAAGUCGAGCUAAUCUGGGAGUUCCAUCACGGCUAAGAACGCAUCGUUGUUUUGUCACGCGGUUUCUAGUCUGGCUCAGACCUGGGCUGCGGCACCUCAGGCAUCUCCUUUCAUCUCUCGGCUCUUCUCCUGGCUCCCGGGCGCUUCUCGAGACUUUUUGGACCUGGACUGGUCCAUGGCAGAACACCUCUUUCCUGGGUCCUCCCCAUGCACCUGCCCAAAGCGGAGGAUUGGGGUGGCACUCUCGGAGAUGCCAGGCUCCUGAAAUGGAGCCGUCACCCCCUAGGCUGUACUUGGCAUUGUGUCUCCAAGGAGCCUGGGGAGGUAACCGGUUGGGGACUGAUUCACUUGGGAGGGAGGGAGCGAGUGCAGAUUGCAGAUGCUAUCUACUCGGGCCAAGUCAACCUGGGGAAGGGCAGGUCUGUGUCUCAACUGGUUUAGGGGUGGGAGAGUGGGAUCGGAACUUUUACACCUUGCAUUCUUAGGACGUCACAAUGGUUUUCCCAAGGCCUCCUUAUCUGAGGGUGUUUACCUAUUCAACCA
rnacentral:lncRNA from 1 species